rnacentral:rRNA from 1 species
UACGUAGGGGGCCAGCGUUGUCCGGACUUACUGGGCGUAAAGCGCGCGCAGGUGGAUGAGUAUGUGCCGUGUGAAAGCGCCGUCCUUACGAUGGCGAGGUCGUGGUAGACAGCUUAUCUAGAGGCUCGAAGAGGUCGAUGGAAUUCCGGGUGGAGCGGUGAAAUGCGCAGAUAUCAGGAGGAACACCGGUGGCGAAGGCGGGUCUCUGGGCCGUAACUGACGCUGAGGAGCGAAAGCGUGGGGAGCGAACAGG